rnacentral:tRNA from 1 species
GAGGUUGUGGCUCAGUGGUAGAGCACUCACCUAGCACUUGCGAGGCCCUGGGUUCAAUCCUCAGCACCACA